rnacentral:rRNA from 1 species
GUUGUAUGGUUAAGUGACUAAGCGUACACGGUGGAUGCCUAGGCAGUUGGAGGCGAUGAAGGACGUACUAACUUGCGAUAAGCCAUGAUAAGCCAGUAAGAGGCACUUGAGUCAUGGAUUUCCGAAUGGGGAAACCCAGUGUGCUUGCACAC